rnacentral:snRNA from 1 species
AAAUGGUGAAUCUACUUGG